AACGCACCUUGCGCUCCUUGGUAUUCCGAGGAGCAUGCCUGUUUGAGUGUCUUGAAGUCAUCAACCCCUCCCGUUUCGUGCGGAGAGGUGAGUUGGACCUGGGGGCUUGCGGACGUCAGCCCGCUCCCCUCAAAUUCUUCGGUCGGGCCUGAGGGUCGAACCCGGUUGGGCGUUGUAACAACCUCGCUCUGCUAACGGGACGUUCCCCUUUGUUUGUGCCCUUCCACGACCGCCUGUGGAGCGGCGGUCAACUACACUUUGAAAUCUGACCUCAAAUCAGGUAGGACUACCCGCUGAACUUAA
rnacentral:misc_RNA from 1 species